AAAGAGGCCACCAAUGCCAUCACCCGGGGAGACGCGCCCCACAGCGCCAUUGCCAAGCUCCGACGUGAUAUGGACUUCAAUAUCAUGAACCCCUUGCGAUGCCACGUUGUGAAUAACCGGAACAUGAAGUCCU
rnacentral:SRP_RNA from 1 species